rnacentral:rRNA from 1 species
UCGGGAAUAUUGCGCAAUGGAGGAAACUCUGACGCAGUGACGCCGCGUGCAGGAAGAAGGUUUUCGGAUUGUAAACUGCUUUAGACAGGGAAGAAACAAGACAGUACCUGUAGAAUAAGCUCCGGCUAACUACGUGCCAGCAGCCGCGGUAAUACGUAGGGAGCAAGCGUUAUCCGGAUUUAUUGGGUGUAAAGGGUGCGUAGACGGAGAAGCAAGUUAGUUGUGAAAUCCCUCGGCUUAACCGAGGAACUGCAACUAAAACUACUUCCCUUGAGUGCUGGAGAGGAAAGUGGAAUUCCUAGUGUAGCGGUGAAAUGCGUAGAUAUUAGGAGGAACACCAGUGGCGAAGGCGACUUUCUGGACAGUAACUGACGUUGAGGCACGAAAGUGUGGGGAGCAAACAGGAUUAGAUACC